GAUGAGCAGGCAACAGUCGUCGUUAGGGUCCAGGUGCGCUCCGCAACGUGGCGUUCCGUGACGCACGACACUGGUGCAACGUAGCGAGUUGGCUAGAUGCUACGGUCGAGCGGGUGCCGUGAGUGUCGGUGCUGCAAACAUGCACUAUAAACGUUCACGAAACCUCGAUGCGUACGCACACACAACAAAGAGACGUACUCGAGCGUGUCACUCGAGUCGAACUAGUGUGCGUUAAGCGGUGGUGUUGCUUCAGCACACAAGCUUGCGCGCUGCCUGCUGUCGUACGCGACGUCAGACUUGACCGUUACCGUUCCGUAGGACACGAACACUGCGUUGUUUCUGCCCUGUGAAGCGUGACACGGACACCGGCUGCGCGAGCCAGGAGUACACGAGCAGCGAAUCGUCGUCAGUUCGUGGAGAGGUUUGCUGGUCGGCUCUAUGCCGUGGCUCGACGCCACAGACCCCAAAGUUCGCGCCUUUCUGAGAGCAGCGACUCAGGGGCGCAGCCAGCGCGACGUCAUUUCCGGGCCUGGUUCAGUGCUUGACGACACAGCGACCUUCGAGAAGUGCUGGAUAUCGCACAGAGAGCUGCUGGACGUCGCGCUCGGUUCGGGAUACACCCAGGAUGCGGUGCGUGAACUCGUUCAGAGCACGCUCGUGCGCUGGCAGUUGCCGCAGGAUGACACUUCGUCAAGCGCUGACGAUGAAGCGCGGCAAAGGUUCCGAGCGUUCCUCGCACGACUCGAGUAUGAGCAGUGUACGCAGUCUCUGAGGAAACAGGCGACUGCCCCGUUGCACACGGGUUCCGGGAACCGAGACGCCCUCCUCCUUAGCCAGCUCCUUUUCGGCAGUCUGGCCCUCGGCGCGUUCGGCUGGUGGCUCGGAGCCGUGCUCACGGAUCUCAUCCAUGAACAGGUUGUGGACGGUGCAACUGGCUUGCGGGCAGUGCCACUCUCUUGAGCAUAUACUGCCGUUGGCAUAAUACUCGGUCGAUCCCUGGUGGCUGCAGUCUGGGAACUUGCUCCCAUCGAAUGGAGAACGUUUACGUGUAGGGACGCAGCGUCAGCGAAGCUAACCAGCAUCAUCAGUGAGCAAGCAAAUCCAGAUUGCGUACAACAGCAUGCCUUUCGCACUGCCCAACAUUGGAACGAUGCGGUGUCGAGGCCCGAAACCUGCUCUGCUCGAACGCAGCAACAUGAUAUGGGCAGAGGCACCUCGGGAGGCAUCUCUGACCGGCCCGCAGCAACCGCUUACGAACGCUUUCCGUCCAGUACGGUAAACGGAACCGAAUGCGCGUUACGGGUGCAGCUGUAUAUCCAUUUUUUGAAGCACUGGCAGCUCUUCCCACGCUCGAUGCCGUACGCACGCUAAGAGCUACCGAACACCCUCUUUGCACACGAUACUGCGCACCAGAGCUUUGCACGAGACUCGCGGGUGACUCACCAGGUAGCGUUUUAGCGCAGGAGACUGCGUUGUACCCAGACUCCACUGAUGCAUGAUUGAAAAGAAAGCCUGAUAUGCUUGCUCUGUUCUUGCCUUUUGAUUUUUCUCCGAACUUUUGUUUCGAUGUUCAACCUCGACAUUCCAAGUGCAGCGAUCAGGGCUUAUUGAUCCUUGCGUAGUGUUAAGGUUCUCGGUUGUCGUUUCGAAGCGCAUUCUUCGACGCUUUGCCACUGCAAUUCGUUCCGUCACCGUCAUCGAGGUGAUUCGCGACGCAACCGAAAAACGAUUUGUGAAAGAUCCAAUAUCCAUAUCCAAUUCAUGGGUUCACGCAGCAACGCUUCUGCUGUCAGCACGUGUAGCAUGCGGGAUUCACGCAUGCCUCAAGUCUUCGAAUCUUCUGUUUCAAGACAACUCGUGGGUGCUGCAAUUCUCGCUGCUGUGUCGACGAGGAGCAAACCUGACGUCGAUUCCAGAUGGCUUGUUCGCAAGCGCAUGCCGAACGUUGAAAGCACUCUUCACGUCAAAUAAUAGAUUUCGUUCCAAAGAAAAAUCCUCUGCUCUUUACGGCCAUCGACGAAAUUGCAUUCCAAAGCAGUAGGACAAAUCGAAUGGGAUACACCCCAUGAAGCCUCUGUCUCAUCUGCUUCCAUGCAAAUGGGUCUUGGACACGGACUUGAGUCGUGCAAGGGUCGCUCCCAGUGGAGCGUGCGCAUCGCUUUGUAGAAAGGGAGCGAAUACGGAUCGAAAUUUCUCGACUCGUUCUCCAGCCCUAACUCGACUUCCGGGACUUGUUCCGUCAUUGGGAACUUCGCUUUCCGCAAAUCCUCUGUCGAAUGAAACAGUGUGCGAGCGCGUGUGCUUCAUACAGCGUACUCGCCGACGGGACCAGCCAGAAGAGGCCAUUGGUUGCAGGAUACGGCAACGGCGGGCGGAAUCGGAUGCGAGGAAAUCAAGACGAGCGCUCUGAACCCGUCGAGGGCAUCUGCUGAUCAAGGAAGCAAGUGCUCACGCGGCACAGAGCGGCUCUCAUAGGAGGAGGUUUAGUGGUUGUAUGAGAAGACCUGAUCAUACCGAACUGGUCCUGUGGUGAACCGCGCACCCUGAAUGUCUACGAAGAAGAUGACAAUAGCAAGUGAAACAGAGAUCGCAACUUCCGCUCGUGCAUGAAAUGCGUCAAGAACAGCCAGAAGCAUCGAGGUCCAGACAUGAGAGGCGCUGCCAACAUCCUUCGACUGUUGACAACGAAGCUGGAGAAAAAGGGAUGAUCGGCAUAUGUAAAGCCAAAGAGAGAAGGAGUAAAGAAAGCA